rnacentral:lncRNA from 10 species
GAAUCUCUUCGGGUGCUAAUCAAAUGGCCGCUGUAAGGGAUCUCCACAAAGCCACGAAGAAGCCAGGCCUUUCCGAGACUGUAACCGCUGUGCAGAUAGCGCCGAUCCCUGGGUGGCCGCUCUCUCGUUCUGCGCGUGCGCUCGUUCUGGGCUGGGAGCGGAUGGGUGCUGAGGCGUGUGACGUCUCUAGUAGUGUCGUAACUGGGUGUGCUGCCUUUUCCAGGUGUACUGAGGUCUUCGUGAGAUUCAGGGCUAGGACUCGUGUGGCUGUGUCAUGUUCCGAAUGAAGCUUAAAAGGUGAUCUUUGAGAACUGAAGACUUGAGACCCCUCCAUGGGCCCAGGGGCUGCCAACACUAAUAAUUUCAGAGACUUAGAAUCUGAGGAGAAUCUCCAAUCUAAGGGGAAACGGAAGAGGGUCAGGAAAGAGAAGGGGCAAGCUUAAGUGACUCAGAAUCCAAGAAGCAAGUCUCAUAGGAGAGCUGCGAUCGAGGUUACCAUACAGUAUCCAAUCGUCUCAACCUUCCCAUCCAUACUUCCAUGCUGUCUUUCCUCUGAAUGCAAGGAAAACCGGUUACACAAACGCUGACAAAAGAAUGUCAGACUUGAAUGGAAAUUCGGAGCAGUACCCAUCUGGUCCAUACAGCGAACUCCCAGUGAGCACCACGGCAAUGUAACUAAUUCAUGUUUCCCUCUUGGCAGUGCGGGAAAGGCAGCAAAGAGCCAAGUUUUGUAUCUUAACAGUUCUUUAGUUAAGAGGCACACGCUAUUUUGCAUUCUUCCCUACUUUUGAUAAUUUUUGGCUGCACUAGUAAUGCAUGAGUAUCUGCUCAUUUAAAAAACUCAAACUUUUUCAGUGAAAAGUAUGCCCUUUUCUUCAGAAAGUCUUAAUUAAAAAAAAAAAAAAAAUCAUUGCCCAGACCAACAUUUUCAAGCAUUUUCUCAAAUCGUUUUCUUGGAAUAGCUGCAUAGUUUUGGGUCUUACAUUGAAGUUUGGUGCUCAUAUGUGGGAGCUAAAAAAAAGUUGACUCCAUGGAGAUAGAGAGUAAAAUUGUGGUUACCAGAGGCUGGGAAGGAUAAGGAGGGAGAAGGAGAUGAAGAGAAGUUAAAAGGAGCGAAAAUAUGGUUAGACAGAAGGAAUAAGUUGUAGCGUUCCACAGCACAGUAGGGUGACUAUAGUAAUCAAUAAUUUAUUUUGUAUUUCAAAAUAGAGGAGAAAGGUUGGGAUAGUCUCAACACAAAUGAUAAAUGUUGGCCGGGCACAGUGUGGCUCACACCUGUAAUCCCAGCACUUUGGGAGGCCAAGACAGGCAGAUGACUAGAGGUCAGGAGUUCAAGACCAGCCUGGCCAACAUGGUGAAACCCAGUCUUUACUAAAAAUAAAAAAAAUUAGCUAGGUGUGGUGGCAUGUGCCUUUAACCCUAGCUACUCGGGAGGCUGAGGCAUGAGAAUCACUUGAGCCUGGGAGGUGGAGGUUG